GGAUUAACGCUGGCGGCGUGCCUAAUACAUGCAAGUCGAAUGGUAGCAAUACCAUGGCGAACGGGUGAGUAACACGUAGGUAACCUGUCUUUAAGCCGAGGAUAACCAUUGGAAACGAUGGAUAAUACUGGAUAGGACAUUUGAAGGCAUCUUUAGAUGUUUAAAGAUUUAUCACUUAGAGAGGGGCCUGCGGCGCAUUAGCUAGUUGGUGAGGUGAAGGCUUACCAAGGCGAUGAUGCGUAGCCGGACUGAGAGGUUGAACGGCCACAAUGGAACUGAGAACGGUCCAUACUCCUACGGGAGGCAGCAGUAGGGAAUUUUCGGCAAUGGGCGGAAGCCCUGACCGAGCAACGCCGCGUGAACGAAGAAGUAUUUCGGUAUGUAAAGUUCUUUUAUUAGGGACGAAAAGACAGAUUGACGGUACCUAAUGAAUAAGCUCCGGCUAACUACGUGCCAGCCGCGGC
rnacentral:rRNA from 1 species